UACAGAGGGGGCAAGCGUUGUCCGGAUUUACUGGGCGUAAAGAGCGUGUAGGCGGCCAGGCAGGUCUGUUGUGAAAACUGGAGGCUCAACUUCCAGACGUCGACAGAAACCGCUUGGCUAGAGUCCGGAAGAGGAGAGUGGAAUUCCUGGUGUAGCGGUGAAAUGCGCAGAUAUCAGGAAGAACACCGAUGGCGAAGGCAGCUCUCUGGGACGGUACUGACGCUGAGACGCGAAAGCGUGGGGAGCGAACAGG
rnacentral:rRNA from 1 species